AAAUUCAAGUCAUUUGUUGCCAUCUACAAGAGGAGGAUUUUGUCUUUAGAAUGUGAUGAUUGAUUUAGAAGGAAACACUCAGGCUGCAAACCAAGAUACCCAGAGACAAAGAAGGAAAUCGAAGCAUUCCAGGUUUUGGAUAAGCCUGGCAAAGGUGCUGGUGAACCACAGAGAGGUUCACCACCUUGUUCCCUUUAGAGGGACACAUGAGAAAAUUAAGCAAUGACUUUUAGACAAAAAAAAAGAGGGUGAAAAAAAAAAAAAGGCAGCUCAAUAAGAAAAUAUGUAGAUAAAAAGAGAGCUGGAGGAAUUUAAUAUUUAAUCUCAGUAGAAUCCUCUCUGAAGAAAUCCAUCCAUCCUUCUCACUGCUGAGGAGAUUCAUCCCAGAGAUGGGUGGGAGAUGCCCUGAUACACAUGGACACAUCCUCCUCUCAGGUUAAUGUGAAAACACAGACGUGGCCCGUUGCAAUGGCCGAAGUUUUGUGGCAAAUGCAAGACUGGACAAAAAAAAAUCUGGAUGCUGAAUGACACUUUUCCAGUUUGAAUGUAUAAUCUUCAAUUCUUAUCCACUGAUCCUCGAAAUAACUCCUUGCUGUUAAUUCUACCCAGACACCGGCUCAGACCUCAUCCUGUGUGCAGCUACUUCUGGGAGGACCAAAAAUUCCCGCCAAACAGUGUGCAUUCCUCUUACAAGAACCACCUCAUGAAAGAAGAUGUGAAAAGCAAAUGUUUAUUUAAAGAAAGGGAAAAAAAAAUAAUAACAGAGAGACUUAUACCUGCUUUGGCCAGAGCUACACAACUCUACCAAAAAACCUAAACAAAUUGAGAAACCUUCUGCACUGACUUCAAGUUUAUCAUGUUCCUCAAGGCAAGGCAGAGGAAGAAAUAAAUAAGGUCCACGUUUUCCAGCGGCUCAGUGCAAACCCACAGGUAAAGGGCAUAUUUUUGUGAAGGCUUUUCUCUGUGGAAAGAAAAUUAGAUACAUUGGGAAGUGGAAUACAUUGGGAAAGGGAUGUUUGGAAGCAGAAAAUUCCAGGAACCAGUUAAGGUCCAGCCCCAUGUGCCAUCAGGGCCGUGCUGGGAGCAGAGGAGAAUCAUUCCUGGACACCACCAGUGAUCCUGGCAGGAGAUUUCUCCCAGCUGCUCCCAUUUCCCAGGCAAACAUAUGGAAACCAAAUGGACCUCGUAAAUAUUUGUUUCCCAAAUCAGUUAAUGACAGAGUACAAAAAAAGCUCAUGAAACUUCAGUUUGAUGGGACAUUUUUAUGGGCUCUCCAGAAAGCACAGGCAUCAGCAGUCAGUUGAAAUUGUGUCCAAUACAGAUGAACUUUACAUUUCUCAGGGGGAAAACAACCAACCAACCCCCACCACCCCUACCAAAACAAACAAAAAAACAGCAACAAAAAAUCACAACCAAACAGCAAAACCCAGAUGUGGAGGAUUAGUUGCAUAAUUUAUGGGAACUGGCACAACAGUAACAACCUUUGCUUUGAUUAGAUCACCAGAGCACCAACGUGCAAGUAAACUCUAAUCCAUUACAUUUUAAACUUACAAAAUUUAUUAGACUUGAACUGGGAUCUUUAUUCGUGCCAAGCUCCCUUCUGAAUUUAUGGCAGUUCUGCAAUCAUUACUCAGCCUGAAUGGAAUCAUAUAUUUCUAUGAAUUGAAGUGAGAAACAGCUUCCUAAUUAGCAUUACAACUGUUAAUGAGAGAUCGCUGGAGUUGCAGUGAACAGAGAGACGUAAUACUAUCAGACAUUCAGAGUCAGACAUAUUUAAAAUAUACUCUUCCUAUUUUCUGAAAUUCCCAGUCCCAGAAGUCUCCAGAGUUUAACAAGAUCAUAAAACUGGAGCAGCAUUUCAUGGAGUUCCUUUUAGUUAAUAUCACAGUAUUAAAUAAGAUCUUUCCUGCGAAGGAAAGAAAAUGAUUGUUCUCUCUCUCCUAAGCUGACUGUGUAAAAUGUUCUUCAAUAAAAUCCAAGAAAUUAAUAUUCAAUGAUUUACAGUAAAUCUCUUGAGCACAGGAGGUUUGCUCUAGACUGGAAAAGCAAACACUUAUGGCUACAUUAUUAUGAUGGCUUAUGCUAAUUAAAUUGAAGCAGAAAUGCUUAAUUUAUGCUUUACCAUCAAGUGCAAAGGGGAAAAUUCUUUCUUGGUUCAAGCUUUAUCUUGUUAAGAAGAUUUACCUCCUUAUUUCCUACAAUAAAGAGCUAUUUUUGAGACUCUACUGAGGAAGCAGAGGCUUGCAGAGCUUUCCUGCCAGUUGCCAUGACACUUUGGAUCUCAACCUCCAGUUCAGUACAAUAGCUGCAAUUAGGUAAUUAGAACAUUAUCUCAAAGUACACAGCUAUUGUACAAAAGAAGAAACAUUCUCACUGAAUAUGCUGCUUAGUCACCAAUAAAUGAUUUAAAAAAAAAAUAAAAAUUACAUUUUCUAAUUAUAAUGAAUAAUUUAUUUCUCCUGGGGAGGCUUGACAUUUAAAUAUUGUACCUCGAAAAAUAAAUACGGGAUCCAUCCGAUAUCAUCUUGGGACACGUGAAAUUUUUCUGACCUUUUCGUUAUUUUUCUUCCAUAAAAUACUGAGAGAAAAAGAACAACAACAAUAAUGGGUUAUUCUGUUUUAUUGCAUUGUUAUUUUCGAAUUCAAAGGCUUUAAUGAAAAAAUUAAUCUAUCCUUUUUUUUUAUUUUUUUUUUAAUAUUUCAACAUCCAGAAUAUUUUUCUCUAGAUGGAAUCCAUUGUGCCAGGUGGUGCACAAUCCCACUUCCCUGAGGUGUUCUGCCCAGGGCAGUGGUGGGAUGAGCAUCCCUGGAAUCAUUCAAAACCUCUGU